rnacentral:piRNA from 1 species
UGGGAGUCGCUUAGGAAGCCUACUAUGGGA